GCUUGUGUGGUGUAGUGGUUUGAGUGUUGGACUACAACUCUGGAGACCAGGGUUUGAUUCCCCACACAGCCA